rnacentral:tRNA from 1 species
AUAUAAAAAUGAGAGGUUAUAUUCCUGGUUAAAAGCAGUAAAUGGGGGGGGGGUUCAAUUCCCUCUUUUC